AGAGUUUGAUCCUGGCUCAGGGUGAAUGCUGGCGGUAUGGAUAGGGCAUGCAAGUCAAGGGGGCCGCAAGGCAACCGGCAGACGAGAUAGUAACGCGUAGGAACGUACCCAGAAGUCGGGCACAGCUCGCCGAAAGGCGGGGUAAUUCCCGAUGGUGCCGAAAGGCUAAAGAUUUAUCGCUUCUGGAGCGGCCUGCGUAGUAUCAGCUAGUUGGUAGGGUAAUGGCCUACCAAGGCUACGACGCUUAGGGGAGCUGAGAGGCUGACCCCCAUCGAUGGAAUUGAGAUACGGUCCAUACUCCUACGGGAGGCUGCAGUCGAGAAUAUUCGACAAUGGGCGAAAGCCUGAUCGAGCGAUACCGCGUGGUGGACGAAGUCCUUCGGGACGUAAACAUCUUUUAUGAGGGAGGAAAUUAUUGACGGUACCCGAUGAAUAAGGGGCUCCUAACUCUGUGCCAGCAGGAGCGGUAAUACAGAGGCCCCAAGCAUUACCCGGAAUCACUGGGCGUAAAGGGUGUCUAGGCGGCCAUAUUAGUCUCUCGUUAAAUCUGUGGGCUCAACCUGCAGCCGGCGAGGGAAACGGUAUGGCUCGAGGGCGUGAGAGGUGCAUGGAACUCAUGGUGGAGGGGUGAAAUCCGUUGAUAUCAUGGGGAACACCAAAGGCGAAGGCAGUGCACUGGUACGUUCCUGACGCUCAAACACGAAAGCCAGGGUAGCGAACGGGAUUAGAUACCCCGGUAGUCCUGGCCCUCAACGUUGCUCGCUCGUUUUACGGAGUAUCGACCCUCUGUGAGACUAAGCUAACGCGGUAAGCGAGCCGCCUGGGUAGUACGAUCGCAAGAUUAAAACUCAAAGGAAUUGACGG
rnacentral:rRNA from 1 species